rnacentral:rRNA from 1 species
GUACACGCUGUGACUAGCAUAUCAAUAAGCGGAGGAAAAGCAUAACAUGUAUACCUACGCUUAGGAUGUUGACACACGCGCGUGCUCGACUCUAUACAUGACUCUGUGCAUAUCAAUAAGCGGAGGAAAAGAAACUAACAAGGAUUCCCUUAGUAACGGCGAGUGAAGCGGGAAGAGCUCAAAUUUGAAAUCUUCAAGGUUUUACCUUGACGAAUUGUAGUUUAAAGAAGUGUUUUCUGCUGAAGUUUUGGUAAAAGUUCUUUGGAAUAGGACAUCAUAGAGGGUGAGAAUCCCGUAUUUGACCAUUAUUUUCAGCUUUGUGAUACACUUUCAAAGAGUCGGAUUGUUUGGGAAUGCAGUCCAAAAUGGGUGGUAAAUUUCAUCUAAAGCUAAAUAUUGGCGAGAGACCGAUAGCGAACAAGUACCGUGAGGGAAAGAUGAAAAGAACUUUGAAAAGAGAGUUAAACUAGUACGUGAAAUUGUCAAAAGGGAAGCGUUUAACACCAGUGUUGUUUUCUCGAAAAUCAAUUAAAAAUGGCUCGAUUUUGUAUUGCUGAGACCUUAAAAGCUCACUGUACAUUUUUCGUGUCUUUUUUAAUGCACUUUUCGUUUAACAAGUCAACAUCAGUUUCUUUUGUUGUAAAAGGGUCAUUGGAAGGUGGCUUUCUUUUCGGAGAAAGUGUUUAUAGCCUUUGGCCUCUGCAAUCGAAGAGACUGAGGUCUGCAGCGUAGACUCUUCGGGGUUAGAUACAUUUGUGCUAAGUUAUAGCUUUUUAUAGACAACUUGUUGACUAUAAUUAGUCUUGUAGCUUACUCGCUUAUGCUAUUUUACCUACGCUUAGGAUGUUGAGUAGCGACAUACGCAC